AGCUGGAGAAAACUUCUCCUAAGAGGCUCUUGCCACAAGGUCAGGCCCACCCAGGUCCUCUCCUUGUUUUACAGCCAACCAUGCCUUUCGAUAUAACUUGAACUUGGGGAUGACAUCUAAGCAUGGUACCAACCCCAGCAACUGCAGGCAGGAUGUGUACACUGCACAUGGCGAUGGAAAUUUGAGGGAGCAUUCUAGAACGCUGCCUACAAUAGGAAUGGAGAAGAAAACGUGAGGAGAGGAUAUUAGCUGCCUUGGACGCGGGCCCCGGAGGCCAGGGUGGCGCUGUGUUCUGAGAUGCCGCGCCUGGAGGCCAGAGAGAUCUCCCGCAGGGGGAAGUCCACAAUUGGAUACACCUGGGGGAGACGCAGACCUCCUGACCCGAAGCCUCAGCACCUGGAGCCUUAGAGGGCUGAGGGGAGCUUGAGCCCAGAGAGCGGAGGGCCCAGGCCAGCGAAUAUUUAUUUUUGUAAGUCAAAUUUUUUUCACUCAGAUGCCACUACGAGCUGUCUGGGAGUAAACAUCACAUCGUUCAUUCAGUCUCAGUGAAACCCUCGUCUCCUUCAAACUCUUGACCAGGGAAUUUAAUAAUGCUUUUUAAUCUCCUUCUUCAUGAUGGACGUUUUUGGAGAACAAAUACCAAAAACCUUGCUCUUUCUGUUUUGCAACCUGCCGCAUAUUUAACUGCAGCAGGAGCUCAGAGUCAACAUAGAUGAAGGUGAGGAGAAAAGGCAAAUAUAAGCCAAGAAAUAGACCCUCAAGUAAGACCUUGUGCAGCUGCCCUGGGGGUUCUGCGAAAUGUCGGUUCAAAGGAGAAGCCCCACAACGUUCACAGGAGCUGUGCUGGUGUCAUCAGUCCCAGGCUCUGGGUACCGCCCAUGCUGGGUGUUAUGGAGGGUGAUCCCAUGUGGGCACACGGCACAUUUACGAGAGGCAGAAGCUGGAGAAUGGGUUUCCCAGGUGGCCCUAGUGGUAAAGCACCACCUGCCAACGCAGGAGAUGCGGGUUCAACCCUGGGCCCAGAAGAUCCCCAGAGAAGGGCAUGGAUGGCAGACAACAGCCGUGUUCUUGCCUGGAGAAUCCCAUGGGCAGAGAGCUCAGUGGGCUACAGUCCACGGGGUCACAAAGAGUGGGACACCACUGGAGCGACUUAGCACAGGCACAAGGAAAGUGGAGAAAACACUGCUGCCAAGACAAUUAAAACACAGGUGACUUGAGACGGAUUUUUCUCCUCAAGAAUCCUGCCAAUGACAGAAAGGAUCUCUCCAUCACUGGCUGCAAGCUACAGACCUAUUUUGAAUGAUUGCAGCUCUCGCCCAUAUGAGAUAAAUACAAAGUAAAUAAGCGUAUCUCAUUCUUAUUCACUGUACUGGUUGGAUAUAAUGUUUCUCAGCCCAAUUAUAAUAUAUUCCUGAGAAUGUCUGAACUCUCUCAAAGAAAGCAACCCCCCAGGCCGACGGGGUUGAUUGUUCAUUUACGUGCUGCGCAUUUAUGAAAUGGUGCCAGGAGUUUAAUACACUGCAAGCCACUGAGACAGAAGCUUCAGACUGGCGAGGCCCUUCCCUAUGGAGAGCUUAGGAACCCCUUAGGGGAAUGCAGAAUGACAGUAAACAAAUCAACAGUAAAUAGUAACGUAAGUUAACAUGGGAGCGCCCUUAGGUGCUGUGGAGAAGGUGAACAGUGUGACCGGCAGUGGGAAGUUAUUUUACAUUGUGUGGUU
ensembl:lncRNA